CAAGUCGAACGAGAAUCACCGGAAGGAGUUUUCGGACAACGGAAGGUGAGGACAGUGGCGGACGGGUGAGUAACGCGUGAGGAACCUGCCUUUCAGAGGGGGACAACAGUUGGAAACGACUGCUAAUACCGCAUAACGCAUAGGUAUCGCAUGGUACUUAUGCCAAAGAUUUAUCGCUGAAAGAUGGCCUCGCGUCUGAUUAGCUGGUUGGUGAGGUAACGGCCCACCAAGGCGACGAUCAGUAGCCGGACUGAGAGGUUGACCGGCCACAUUGGGACUGAGAUACGGCCCAGACUCCUACGGGAGGCAGCAGUGGGGAAUAUUGGGCAAUGGGCGCAAGCCUGACCCAGCAACGCCGCGUGAAGGAAGAAGGCUUUCGGGUUGUAAACUUCUUUUGGCAGGGAAGAGGAGAAGACGGUACCUGCCGAAUAAGCCACGGCUAACUACGUGCCAGCAGCCGCGGUAAUACGUAAGUGGCAAGCGUUGUCCGGAUUUACUGGGUGUAAAGGGCGUGUGGCCGAGUUGGUAAGUCACAUGUGAAAUGCACGGGCUUAACUCGUGAACUGCAUUUGAAACUGCUGAUCUUGA
rnacentral:rRNA from 1 species